UGUACUGGUUAGAGAAAACAAAAGUCUUGUCAUGGUCAAUCUUUUUGAUCCUGAAUUUGAGGUAUUUUCAAGACAUAAUAAUAUGAUUUAGGUACUUCUUAUGGAACCCAAAGUGACACUACUAAACAUAGCAUGAAGUAGCCCACAUUUUUGUAAAAUGGUCAAGCACUACAAAUAUUUCUAUGACAAAGACACCCUUGCCUUUGAGUUCCAAUUCAAUGUAUUUGCUGCUUUGGUCUAGCAAAUUUUUGUUGUUGAAAGGGCUAAUUUUUGGAAAUGUGAAUGAAACCCAAGUCUCCCCACCAAAAAUGGAUUCUACACAUGGAGGUGUAGCUUUCAUAUGCAUGGUCUCCCAGAACACACAAGCCUCUGACCUAACUACAAUAUUUUUCUCUCUUAAUGAACUGGUUUUCUUGGGAACUUGGAUCAACAUAUCAUUCUACACACAAUCUCAUUUAAAUUCUAUUUUUUUUUCAUCUCCAAUCUUCCUUUUAAAUCCACUUCCCAACUAUUACUACAAAUUAAAACAAGAAGAAGAAGUCUCUGCUGUCUCUCCCCAUAUCUCUUUACAGCUAUAGCUGCUUCUGUACUGUACAAGCAACUAAAAAUCCUUCAAAGAACAGAACACUGUUGGUGGGAUUUAGAUGCAAUGAUAAGCUGUUUAAGGAGUAGAAGAGAAACACACCAAACGGUUUCUGCAUCUACUACUGGUAAGGAUGAUAAAGAGAUUUUUGAAACUACAAAAAGACAAGUUCCUUCAUGGUCAGACCCAUUACACAACUAGCUAGAUUUGUAGCGAAGAUCGUAUAUGCAGCAGAUUGUGGGUUAUUAGCGCAUGGAUAUAUAGCUAUAGCUAGGAGAAUACAUUAUUUCAUGUUUUUACAGUAUGAUAAAACGUCUGACGGCGAUGCAUAAGACCGAAUGAUGACUUAGAAUGAAAAUUAUUUAUUGAUGAUGGCUUGAACGGGACAGUGAUGAUCCGGCUGUACCUGUUAAAACUAGUGUAGAAUCUGUAGAUGAGAAGUUUUUCUUCUAUUAAUUUUAUUUUUCAGUGUUUGCUCCAUUAUCAAAUAAGUGGAAAAUUAAUUAUGA